rnacentral:sRNA from 1 species
CUUUUCUCUUUCUUUCCUUAAUCAAUUCGUAAACUGUAUUAGGAUAGUGCUUAGUCCGUUAAUCGGUAGUACGCCCGUUACAAUUCACUUUCAAGGCUGUUUUUAUUUUCUUUUAUUUUUUAUACAAAAGCUGAUGGAGGUGGAAGGUUGAUUUAUUGUAACUAUCUAGCGGGCGAAGCACAGAUAUGUGGGUCACAUGGUAUACACAAGCAUUACCUAAGUAGGAAUGCCAAUACCCCCUUUUGCCACAAAGACUCAAAACACAAAACACCAUAUAGCUGGCCUGGAUAUUAUAUUAUAACUAUAAAUCUUGUCUGAUUAUCUCAUCAAACCCCAUUUCCACUCUCAUUUUUUCAUUAAAAUUAUCUCUUAUCCCUCAACUUCUUCAAUUAUCAUCUUCAUUUAUCUUCAUAUCUUUAUUCUCUCUGAAAACAAUCCACAAUAUUCUGCUUUUAAAGUCUAAAAACAUGGAAAACUUUGUUUCUUUCCCAUCUUAUAAGAUCUGACACUGGCUAUAGCACUGGCUCUUCUGGCUCUGACUUCUAGCUCUGACACAGCUUUGAUGAAUAGUCUUAAUCAAUUCUUUUCAAAGGAUUUGCAGUGAAUUGAUAAAUAUAGAGUAGAGUAGACUUUUAGCUAUUGAUAGAAUAAUAAUAUUGAAUAGAGGAUUGAUUGUAUCAGAUGAAGAAGGAUGGUGAGAAUGAUUGAUCAUUCAAUGAAUGGCUUCUGUUGAUAUUUGAGAUAAACACAUCUUCAACUAGAACAGAAGAUACAGUAAAGAG